rnacentral:rRNA from 1 species
UAGGGAAUCUUCCACAAAUGGACGCAAGUCUGAUGGAGCAACGCCGCGUGAGUGAAGAAGGUCUUCGGAUCGUAAAACUCUGUUGUUAGAGAAGAACACGAGUGAGAGUAACUGUUCAUUCGAUGACGGUAUCUAACCAGCAAGUCACGGCUAACUACGUGCCAA